CUACGGGAUGCUCCAGUAAGGAAUAUUGCGCAAUGGAGGCAACUCUGACGCAGCCAUGCCGCGUGCAGGAAGAAGGCCUUAUGGGUCGUAAACUGCUUUUAUUUAGGAAUAAACCCCCGAACGUGUUCGGGGCUGAAGGUACUAAACGAAUAAGCACCGGCUAACUCCGUGCCAGCAGCCGCGGUAAUACGGAGGGUGCAAGCGUUACCCGGAUUUAUUGGGUUUAAAGGGUGCGCAGGCGGGCUAUUAAGUCAGUGGUGAAAUCCCGGGGCUCAACUCCGGAACUGCCAUUGAUACUGAUAGUCUUGAGUUUGGUUGAAGUGGGCGGAAUGUAGCAUGUAGCGGUGAAAUGCAUAGAUAUGCUACAGAACACCAAUCGCGAAGGCAGCUCACUAAGCCAAAACUGACGCUCAUGCACGAAAGCGUGGGGAUCAAACAGGAUUAGAUACCCCAGUAGUC
rnacentral:rRNA from 1 species